UGUUGAUUCAGACAUCUUUGAUGAGCUUUUGAACUCAUUUCAAGUGUCUUUUGCGGUCUCCACUGAAGAGAGCUCUGAUGAGAAAGAAUCCUCUUCUGAAACCUCGUUCUGCUCUGAGGACUCAGCUUCAUCAAGCUCAACUGUAAUUCUGGAAUCUACGAAGGCACGGCGAAGGCAGCUGAUUGAUGGACCAGUUGACCCCAAUACAGCAAGAGAUCAAACUGUUUGCUGGAUUUCUUGUGCGUCAGCUUCCUUCUGGGAUGACGACCAUGCAGACCGAGUUGAUGCAGUGUGCGGCGUAUGGUCUGAGCACUGACAGGCUGACCUCCCACGUCUUCAACCUCUGCAGCAAUGCUGGCAGCACUCAUGUGUCUAUUUUUUAAAGCCAACCUCUGGAUAUGACGCCGAACACGUGGACUCAACUCUUUUGGUCGACCCUGGCGAAGCCUGUUCCGAGUGGAACCUGUCCUGGAAAACCGCUGUAUGACCUUGGCCACCAUGCUGUAGCUCAGUUUCAGGGUGUAGCAAUCUUCUUGUAGCCCAGGCCAUCUUUGUGGAGAGCAACAAUUCUAUUUCUCACAUCCUCAGAGAGUUCUUUGCCAUGAGGUGCCAUGUUGAAUAUCCAGUGGCCAGUAUGAGAGAAUUGUACCCAAAACACCAAAUUUAACAGCCCUGCUCCCCAUUUACACCUGGGACCUUGACCUCUGGUGUCGCGGAUAAACUUUACAGUGUACACACUUGAGUGUAAUUACAAUAUUUCAAUGUUUUAUUAUAAAAAGAUUUAACAAUCUGAACGUCAAACAUUGCUUAUCUUGUCUGAUCUAUAAUAAAUACGCAUAAGUAUAAAUGCAUGUGUAUCAAUUACACUUUAACACAAACAUUAACACAUAA